AUGUAUAAAGCUACUAUGAAAGCUACAAACUUAGAAAUGGAGAGCAAAUUAAAUAAAAAAAAGUGCUAGCUCCGAGAGAAUUACAUCAGAAAACACUUGAAGGGGGCAGAGCCCAUAACAAAACAAUUUGCCAAUCUAUUAGAUAAAAACGAAGAGGCUAACACAUGAGCAGCCCUAUUAGCUUCUCUAGGAAUCCAAUUGAACUGCAUCUACUGCACCUGGGAGGCUUUUGACAACGAGUCAGAGCUAAGAACCUCAAUUCUCCAAGGAGGCCGAGAGUUUGGGUCUGUGAUAGCCUCAACGUAGACCAUGGCAUCACUUUCAAUUGUAGCCUGAUGAAUGUUCCCUCAGUAUCUAGAAACUCGAAUUCGGGAUCUAUUCAUUUGUUCUCUCUUUCAAAGUAAAAAAUUAGCAUAGCUUCUCUGCAAAAUUCUGUGCAGCCAUGGAUUACAAGAAGAAUCCAUGGCCUAUGAUGCUUUCUUUUCUCUUCAUCUGCCUAUCUCUCAACAAUCAUCUUUCCCUUGGAGCUGACACCAUCUCUGCAAACCAACCUCUCUCUGGUGACCAAACUAUUAGCUCUAACGGUGGGAACUUUGAGCUCGGUUUCUUCACACCAGGUAAAUCUUCUCGUUCUAACUACUAUAUAGGCAUGUGGUACAAGAAAGAUCUCUCUCAGAACCAUAGUUUGGGUGGCAAACAGAGAGACGCCAGUCUCUGAUAGAAGUUCUUCUGUAUUGAGAAUCUCAGAUGGUAAUUUAGUUCUGUUCAAUGAGUCUCAAAUUCCAAUUUGGUCAACAAAUUUGAGCUCUACGAGCUCUGGUCCUCUAGAAGCUGUGCUUAAAGAUGAUGGAAAUUUUGUUCUGAGACAUGGGUCUGAUAAUUCAUCAAAACUUUUGUGGCAGAGUUUUGAUAAUCCAACCGAUACAUGGCUUCCUGGUGCUAAGAUGGCAUAUAACAAUAGAACCAAACAAAACAUGCAACUUAUUUCAUGGAAGAAUUCUGAGGAUCCUGCACCAGGACUCUUCGCUCUUGAGCUACAGCAAAAUACCAGUUCCUAUAUUAUUCUAUGGAAUAAGUCUGUACCAUACUGGAGCAGUGGACGUUGGAAUGGAAAAAUUUUCAGUUUGGUUCCUGAGAUGGUAGCCAAUUAUAUUUACAACUUCAGUUAUGUUUCAAACGAAAAUGAGAGCUAUUUCACAUAUUCGGUUGCCCAUACUUCUACUAUAUCUCGAUUUGUGAUGAAUAUAUCGGGCCAGAUUCAGCAGCUAUCAUGGUUGGAAAGUACCAAGCAGUGGAAUUUGUUUUGGUCUCAACCAAGGACGACACAAUGUGAGGUUUAUGCUUUUUGUGGGCCUUUCGGUAUAUGCAACCCGCAAUCCAUGCCUUUUUGUAAUUGCUUGAAGUAUUUUCAGCCUACCUCAGACAAAAGUUGGAAUUUGUCGGAUUUUUCAGCUGGGUGUGCAAGAAAAACCAGUUUGCAGUGUGGGAAUGAUACACUUGCUAAUGGAAAGAGAGACAAGUUUUGGGAAAUGCCCAACAUGAAAUUGCCUGAUCAUCCACAAACUGUGGCAGUUGGAAGUUCAUCAGAAUGUGAAUCAACCUGUUUGAAUAACUGCUCUUGCACUGCUUACGCUUAUGGCGACCGUUGUUCAAUUUGGAUUGGAGAUCUCUUGAAUCUGCAACAACUCACAAGCGCUGACACUAAUAGAGGAACUCUAUAUCUCAAACUUGCAGCUUCCGAGUUACCCAGUUCUAAAAACAGUAAGGCAAUUACUGCAGGCGUUGUCCUGGGUUCAGUUGCAGGGAUAGCAAUUUUCGCAGGCCUUGUUGCAUUUGUAAUCUUUAGGCGAAGGAGGGGAGCAAUUGGAACAGCAAAAGCAGUUGAAGGAUCAUUAGUGGCAUUUGGGUACAGAGACUUGCAGAAUGCGACCAAGAAUUUUUCAGAGAAAUUGGGGGGAGGAGGUUUCGGUUCUGUUUUCAAAGGGACUUUACCUGAUUCAACGGGCAUUGCGGUCAAGAAACUUGAAAGCAUCAGCCAAGGAGAGAAGCAAUUCCGCACUGAGGUCAGCACUAUUGGGACAAUCCAACAUGUAAAUCUUGUUAGGCUUCGCGGCUUCUGCUCCGAAGGUACUAAGAAGUUGCUGGUCUAUGAUUACAUGCCGAAUGGGUCUUUAGAUUCUCGACUUUUCCAUGAAAAGAAUUCUGGGGUUUUGGAUUGGAAAACAAGAUAUCAGAUUGCUCUGGGAACAGCUAGAGGGUUGCUUUAUCUCCAUCAGAAGUGCAGAGACUGCAUCAUACACUGUGACAUAAAACCAGAAAACAUUCUUCUAGAUGCUGAAUUGUGUCCGAAAGUGGCAGAUUUUGGUCUAGCAAAGCUUGUUGGGCGUGACUUCAGCCGAGUCCUCACAACCAUGAGAGGUACAAGAGGUUAUCUAGCUCCAGAGUGGAUUUCAGGGGUGGCCAUUACAGCCAAAGCUGAUGUUUACAGCUAUGGAAUGAUGCUUUUUGAAUUUGUCUCCGGGAGGAGAAACUCUCAGCAAUCUGCAGAUGGAAAAAGUAGAUUCUUUCCUAUUUUGGCUGCAAGCCUUAUAACACAAGGUGCCGAUGUCCUUAGCCUUCUAGACCCCUGGCUGGAGGGAAAUGCUGAUGUAGAAGAGGUCACAAGAAUAUGUAAACUUGCUUGUUGGUGCAUCCAAGAUGAUGAAACUCAUAGGCCACCAAUGGGUCAGGUAGUUCAAAUCCUUGAGGGAGUUUUAGAGGUGAACCAUGCCCCAGUUCCCAGAUCACUCCAGGUGUUUGUUGACAACCAGGAGCACAUAAUUUUCUUCACUGAAUCAUCCUCCAGCCAAAGUUCAAAGGCACGGAGCAACAGCUCAAAUUCUUCCUCUCAAUCCGGAAGUAGUGUGUCAUCAACAAAUUCAAAGUCUUGAAGAGAAAUCAAUUGAGGACGUCUUGUGCUCUUUUAUGUUUAGUUAUGGAUAAAUGUUCUGCAUUUUUAUUCUUUGUUAUUUACUUUCUAGCCUAAAGUAGCUGUUUGUAUAUUCAAUUGAAGCAUUUCUUCAAAUUCUCAAAUAAUGUAUUUGCUAUGAGCCUAUC